rnacentral:lncRNA from 1 species
CAGGACUGGGGACGGAUGUGGACUGACCUGACCAGCCGGACCUCAUGCUGGGAGCUAUCAUUCCAUGAAUGUGAUCAAAGAUGGGGGUUUGGGUAACCUGACUCACAUACUCCCCUUACUUUUUUUUUUUUUAGAGGUUCUAUUUAUUUAUUCAUGAGAGACAGAGAAAGAGAGAGAGAGAGAGAGAGAGAGAGAGAGGCAGAGACACAGGCAGAGGGAGAAGCAGGCUCCAUGCAGGGAACCCGAUGUGGGACUGGAUCUCGGGUCUCCAGGAUCAGGCCUCAGGCCGAAGGCAGCGCUAAACUGCUGAGCACCCCCGGGGCUGCCCGCGCACUCCCCUUUCGUCUCUCCCAGAAUGAAUUCCUCUACCAAAAUGUGGGAAUGACAAGUUCCACCUCCCACUGGAUCAUGGGAACAGUGGGUGUCUCACACUGCUCUACUGCAUCUGCCCAAACUGGCAAAGUGGCUGUCCCCGAAAGUGCCAAGGCUGUCCGGUCUCCCAGCAAACGCCUCGGACUGAUGCGGAGCCAUUUAUAGCAAGAAGUGGUGAGAGGUAACUUAUUCUGCUGUGGAAGGAGCCAGAGCCCAGGGCUCCUCCCAGGGAGAGCUUCACACUCCACAACAGGGUGGGGAGCUACUUUCCCACGCCCCUUCGCUCGCCUGCUGAAGCCGCACGCGAGCGCCAGGCUCCCAGCGCACACUGAGUCAGCACCCUGGAGAGCUGCCCCGCCCCUCCCUGACCAGUGAGGUCAGCACAGAUGCUGCACCCCCCCCCCCCCCAGGAGGAGUGGCAACUGCAGCCACUGGGCAAAGCUCCCAAGAGCUGAGUUAAAGGAACACCCCUGAAGGCUGUGGAAAGCUCCAGAACCCAAGAAGCGCAGGGAACAGGAUUCCAAAGAGCAUGUUUGCCGACAAAAUCUCAUCGUAGGGGACGCCUGGGGGGCUCAGAUUGGGUUUUCUGCGGUUUGAGUGUUGAGCAGUUGAGCGUCUGCCUUCAGCUCGGGGCAUGAUCCCAGGUCCUGGGUUAGAGUUCCAGGCCGGGCCUCCUGCGAGGACACCGCUUCUCCCUCCCUCUGCCUGUGUCUCU